AGCGAACGCUGGCGGCAGGCCUAACACAUGCAAGUCGAACGGCAGCACAGUAAGAGCUUGCUCUUACGGGUGGCGAGUGGCGGGCGGGUGAGGAGUAUAUCGGAAUCUACUUUUUCGGGGGGGAUAACGUAGGGAAGGUUACUCUAAUAUAGGAUAUGCCGUACGGUUGAAAGGAGGGGAUCGUUUGGCCGUGUGCGGAUGAAUGAGCCGAUGUCGUGUUAGCUGGUUGGCGGGGUAAUGGCCCACCCAGGCUAGGAUACGUAGCUGGUCUGAGUGGAUGGUCAGCCACCCUGGAACUUAGACACCGUCCAGACGCCUACGGGAGGCAGCAGUGGGGAAUAUUGGACAAAGGUCGCAAGCCUGAUCCAGCCAUACCGCGUGGGUUAAGAAGGCCUUCGGUUUGUAAAGCCCUUUUGUUGGUAGAGAAAAGCAGCAGGUUAAGACCCCGCUGGUCUGACGGUACCCAAUGAAUAAGCACCGGCUAACUUCGUG
rnacentral:rRNA from 1 species